UUCUAUAUUUUUAUAUUGCUCAAUGUGAGGUAGGUGUAAACCACGAAUGAUAGAAAUAAAUCAGUCUUGUUCUAGCCAGCUUGUUUCACUAACGCGCCCCGUCCCUGACACUUUAACAUGGCGCAGUCGGAGGUCGUAAAAUACGAAAAGAACUUAUGUUAGCAUUAACAUAAUGCAAUAAGUGAGAAUUGAUGAAGUUCAUAUGUGUUAUAACAACAUUUAUUAUCAACAAAGAAGCCUCAAGCAAUAAUUAUGGAGUCAAUUCUGCAACCACCGCAACCGUUUAUUUUUGAAAAUGAUAUAACGAACGUUACUUCUGGAAAUCUGAGUAAGGAUUGGGAAAAGUGGAAAAAUGCCUUCAAGAUUUAUUUCGAAGCCUGUGAAUUACAGAAAAAGGAUAAUAAGGUACAAAUAAACAUCUUAUUGCAUAUCAUAGGCGAAAAGUGUCGUGAGGUAUAUGAGCAAUUCAAAGGCGACAUUAAAACUAUAGAGGAUUUAUUGAAGGAAUUCGAUCGAUUUUUCUUACCCAGAAAAAACAUUACGAUUGAACGUCAUGCAUUCUUUACCCGGAAUCAGCGAGAAUUGGAAUCGGUGGAACAAUAUGUUUUCGAAUUGAACAAAAUAGCGGCAAAAUGUGAAUUUGAACAACUGAAGAGUGAAUUAGUACGAGAUAGAAUGAUAUGUGGAAUAAGGGAUGGAGCUUUACGUGAAAGAUUAUUAAGAGAAACGGAAUUAACAUUGUCAAAAGCGGUUGACAUUUGUACUUUGGCUGAAAUAUCAAGACUACAGGCGAACAGCAUAAAGACAGACACCCAGAUGCAUCAUGUCGACGAAAUAGUAUCUGAUCAGCGGCAAGAUGAGACCUGUGUACACUUUGUUAGACGCGGCGGACCGCGUAACUCGCCAGCAGCUACGCAUCGAACUUCAAAAUGGCGGCAACCUGCGCGACGUCGCGAUAGCGGCUCCGGUUCCGCGCAAACGCAAGUGUCAACGCACAAUCAACAAACAGUGAGGCGGAAAAAUGUGUUUUCAAAUAAUUAUGAACAAUCCACAUCCAAAGGCAAUAAAAACAUAAUGUGUAGAAAGUGUGGAAUAAAUCACAACAAAUUCAACUGCCCAGCUUUUGGGCAACGCUGUAUUGCUUGCAAUAAAAUGAAUCAUUACGCAAGAAUGUGCCAAGUUUACGAGGUCCAGGAGGAGUCCAGUGAUCAGGAUAGUGAGACCACCUGAUCGCUUGGAAUACUCUCAUCCUGGAAUUCCAAUACCAAGGUAAUGAUGCAAGCAUUUAUGGUAGAUAUUCAUUUAAUCUCACUUGCAAAAAUCUAUUUAUUAUAACUGAAAAGUAUUAUUUUAGUGUUAUUGAAAUUUAAUUAUGUAUAAAUGCAAUAUUUUAAAUAAAAUAUUACACUAUUAAAAGUUAAUUAUGUAAAUGUAAUGUUUUGAAUGGAAUACUGAAUUAUUGAAAUUAGUUAUGUAAAUGUAAUAUUUUAAAAUGGAAUAUAUUUAACAAUGUACCUAUUACAAAACAUCACCAAUAUACACAAUACAAUCUGCUCAAGAUGAAAUGUUUCAAUUUAUCUUAUGUAUCGGAAUAUAUUCAAAAAUGUACCUAUCAUAAAACAUCACCUAUGUUCACAAUACAAUCUGCUUACAAUGAAAUGUUUCAAUUUAUCUUAUGUAUCACAAAACCAAGACCUCUCCUAACUUUAAAUAACUUAUUAUUUAAAGUUGCCUUAAGAGGCAACACAAAUUAAUGUGAAACAAUAAUAAUGUAAUGAUAGUUAAUAAGUUUAAUAAAUGAAAAUUCCCAAAAUGUGAUAAAAUUAAUAUAAUAAAUAAAAUCUAGAAACAAUACUAUAAGUUAACAUUCAAAUAAAUACGAGUUAAUUACCGUUAACUAAUUAUUUGUAAUUAAUUUUGUUGUAAUAAAAUUGCAUGAUCUUAAUUUAAUCAUUAUUGUUUAAUAAUAUGUAGUGAUAAUUGCAUGUUUAAUAUUAUAAUUUGAUGAAUAAGCCAAUUCUGUAAUGUAUUAUUUAUUUAUUCGAUUUAAAAUCAAGGUGUACAAUAUAUUUGUGAUAUUGUUAAUGUGUAACUAGUUUGAAAGCAAUAACCAGAAAAAUUUAUUAAUUAUUAAGGUGUAAUUUAUUCGUUGUAAACUCAAUCAUAAUAUUAAUGUGAAUUAGCAUCUGUGGCUAUAAUAAUAUAAUCACAAGAAUGCAUUCUAUGUAUUUCAUCCAAAGUCAAUUAACUAUAGUGCUCACACAUUUCAUAUUGUUGCAUUCCACAAUAACAAAUUUUUAUAUAGUUUUUGUUUGGAAGGAUGUUGUGGGUAAUUCUAUAUUUUUAUAUUGCUCAAUGUGAGGUAGGUGUAAACCACGAAUGAUAGAAAUAAAUCAGUCUUGUUCUA